CAGCCGCCGCGGAAUACAGAGGGUGCGAGCGUUAAUCGGAUUUACUGGGCGUAAAGCGUGCGUAGGCGGCUUUUUAAGUCGGAUGUGAAAUCCCUGAGCUUAACUUAGGAAUUGCAUUCGAUACUGGGAAGCUAGAGUAUGGGAGAGGAUGGUAGAAUUCCAGGUGUAGCGGUGAAAUGCGUAGAGAUCUGGAGGAAUACCGAUGGCGAAGGCAGCCAUCUGGCCUAAUACUGACGCUGAGGUACGAAAGCAUGGGGAGCAAACAGGAUUAGAUACCCCCGUAGUCCCUGUCUCUUAUACA
rnacentral:rRNA from 1 species